ensembl:lncRNA uncharacterized LOC114480757
CUCAUAAUUAAGGUGACUUGCAACAACAAAGACAUGAAGACGGAGCCUUUAUUGUUACUAUAGAGGACAUUGUUGAUGUGCUAUGGAGACAUAAAACGGCACACAUGGAUCCCUGUUAGUGGACUGUGAGGAGGUUUGCUGAUGGAUGGGCGAUCAAUGAAGGUCGGUGGUGGUCUGCUCCCCAUUUUACCGAGAAGGACCCCAAAGGAUGCUGCGCACAUGCGCGUUGUGCACACACCGGAGCGCCAGCGGUAGGGAAGAAGCCCUAAUGGCGGAGAAUGUUCGCUCGCCUUUUGACUACCGGGAGCCACCGACCCUCGACAGCGACGGGGAUGGGGGCAAGCCUCCACCGUCCCGGGGCCGCGUGUGUGGGAGAAAGAGGAAGGGCACGCCUGUGAAGGUGUGCGACCGAGCGUACGUAACAGAAGAUGAGGAGGAGGAGAGCAUGUCGGAGCACAGCUACAGCCCCGGUGAUGGCCAGUACCCAGAGGGAGCAGAGGACCGCCUCCCUCCACCUGGCAGUCCGUACUACCUCCCUGAUCCCACACAACUCUGUGUGCCGGAGUUGGGCGAGGACGGGGCGGGCGGCGUUAGAGGACCCGUGCUCUUCCAUCCACCGCCCAACUGCAGAAUCAGAGAAGUUCACUGCGGCACCCAGGUGCGGCUGGUCGUCAUAGCGAUCCGAGACAUCGCCAAAGGAGAAGAGAUCACGGUGGACUACAGCCUGACGGACUGGGGCGAGAACGCAAUGGAGGAAGAGGGUGGCCCCCAUCCGCUAUCUCUCUCUGUUUCCGAUUACCUCACUCCCUCCUGGUCCCUAUCCCCCUCCUCCUCCCCGCUCACCCACUCUGAACCCAGUGACUCGGACCGAGAGGAGGACGAAGAGGAGGAAGAUGACGACGACGACGAUGAUGACGAAGAGGAGGAGAUCGAGGAGAUGAGGGGCCGGAUGCUUCGGCGCAGGAAGAAGCGCAAGUUGCCCUCCGCUGUGAAUUCUAAGAAGAAGAGCGGUCCCACCUCCUCCAGAGGCCCCGGGCGUCCCUGCUCCUCCUUCUCCCGCCCGGCGCCUGCCGCUCCCCCGACUCGAUCCCAGUCACAGACGUCCCUGGUGCCACCGACCACCAACAUAAACAAUAACAUUAACAUAAACAUCGGCAGCUCCAGCGGGGCCACGGUGAGCCGGAGGCAGCACUGCCCCUACUGCGGCCGUAACUAUCGCUCUCUGGCCCGUCACCUGGAGAAGCAUCACGCCAACCAGCCUGAGGUCAGGGCGGCCAUGGAGCUAGCACACCUCAACUCACAAAACGCCUCCAACGGCAACGCGGUGCACACACAUCCCUCUUCAUCCUCCGCCACCCCCUCGACCCCGCACACACAUUCCUUUGCCGUCCCCCAACCUUGUGCAUCCAACGCCACACCCCCCUCCCUCUUUCCUAGAGAAAGGGAGCCUCCCGCUACCCGUUCUAGCACAGGCAGCGUCUCCUUUUCUCUCUCGCUUUCACCUCCGUCAUCUUCAACUCCGCCCACCACCUCCAAAAAGGGGACAAAGGUCCAAGCACAGCCCGCGACGCAAAGGGUGAAGAGUCCGUCGCCGCCUCCGCCAACACCGCCAAAGCGCGGUCGGAGGAUGAAGAGGGAAAAGCAGGAAGAGCCACCGAAGGUGGAGGUGGAGGUGGAGAGCCUGAGAAACCAGGAGGAACUGGCCCCGCCUCCUACACCAGAGCCUGAUGUGGAUCCGAAUGAAGAUUUGGAGCUGAGCGCUGGAGAAGAAGCCCCAGUGGUGGAGGAGCAGAACGGAGACAUUGCAAGCACAGUCAAACAUCAAAUGUCUCCGCUGCUCUCGUCCCUAUCCUGUUUGGUUCUCUACCUGCGGCGCCAGCAACACUCCUCCUUCCUGUCUUUGAGCCGCACUCCUCAGUCGGCCGAGGCUUGGCGGCUCCUCUGCCACACCAGCCUCUCUCUGCUGAUUCUCUACAAUCGCCACAGGGAGUGCGAGGUGGCCAAGCUCACUAUCCAGGACUACGGCAACCGCACCGAGCCCCAAGGGAGCCCCACCAAUGGCCCCACCACUGGUAUGGAAGCUCUCCUGUCGCCCUUCGAGCACAAGGUCCUCUGCAAUCUCCCGCGGGCCGGAGUGUUGGGGAAGCGUGGUCGUGUCCAGCCUCUGAUUCUGCCCCCCCACUGCGAGUCGUGCCUAGACCUGCUUCUUCAAACCAGCCCUAAUGUGGGCGUGGACCCGGACAGUCCGUACGUUUUCUCUCGGCCCUACCACUCGCCGGCCACGCCCCUCCGAGGGACGGACCUUUUGAGAAACCUUGCAAGAGCCAGCGGAGCUAAAAACCCUGGUACGGUCACAGCGACGCGGGCCAGGCGGCAGGUGGCCAUUCUCACCCAACUUCUCCUGCUAGAGGAGGGGGGGGAAGGCCAGGGCGGAGCCAUCAAACGCUUGGAGAACUUCCUGGAGAACGAGUACCACGUCACCCAGAACUGCUCCAGUAUCAUGCGAGACCCAGGACUGAUGGGUCGAGUGGGACGCGUUGUUCUCUACGGAGAGAAAGAGGGUGUGCUGUUCAGGGGGAUGAGUCUACAGCACAUCUGCCUCGAGUUGGAUGUGAUGUCUGGAAACUCGGCAGAUUCCUUCUCUGAGGAAUCUGAACACGAGGAAGAGAAAGAGGAAGUCAAAGAAAAGAAGGAGGUGCCGGUGAAAAAGAAAGGACGUGGUCGACCCCCGAGGAAGAAGAAAGCCAACGCUCCGUCUCUGCCCAACACUUCCCAGACUGCUAAUGUCCACAUCAGGAGAGGCACUCCACCCAAGUCAGGCAAACGCGGCGUGCUGAAGCGGCCCUGGUCGGAGGCGGAGCGCGUCGCCGUGGAGACCCACCUGAGCAGGAACCUAAUGGAGCUCCGUGUUCCCGCCAAGGCGGACUGUGAGCGCUGCCUGGAACUCUGCCCCCUGCUGGUGAGCAACCAGCGAGACUGGAGGGCCAUCAAGUUCUACGUCCACAACCGCAUCCAGCUGCUGAAGAAGCAGGAGAGGAGGGAGAGCGCCGCCACGCUAGGAUAAGGAAUUACAACAACAACAAAAAAUAAUACAGGUCGGAUACAGGUGUGUACAAAUAACCAGCAAACUGAGUGACAUCAUCAUUCUGGUGACCUGAUGUGAGGUGCUUUAUCGACUAUUAUCAAGCAGUUGGACAACGUGGACUUUUCCGUGUGAAUAUAAAAUUAAACUCAACGCUUUAAAAGGGAAAAAAAAGUAAACAAAGAAAUCCCAUUUUCUAUAUUUUUUACUUUGUUAGUGGACAGGAAAGAGACGUGAUGAAGCUAGAAUACAUGAAGGUCACUAAAGGCAUGUUUCACUUUACUUCAGUUCAAGACGUUUUGGAUUUUUAAAGGACUCCAACGAUCCCCCUCACUACGAAAAACCACAGGAUGCAGUUGUCUACAAUUUAAAAAAGUCACAGAAAAGUAAUUUCAAUAGUUUAACAUUUAAGAAGCACUAUUUAAAACCAUUUUGGGAUUCACUUUGAUAUGAACACACAUUGUACAAUUGGAUGUGUCGCAAAGAAAAGACAGAUAUAACUGCAAUUGCUGACAUGUAGUAUAUGAAAGUCUAGAUUUUAUAUUUGGCAAAUAUUAAUAAUUUUAUUAGAGUUUUGCAUUCCCAGCUGCUACAUUAUCUCACAUUUAUCACCAAUGGAUUAAAAUUCUACUGAUUAAUUUUAGUGCUGAGAAGUAGAUUUUUAUUGGCGAUGCUGAUAUUAAGGGUUUUAAAAAGUUCAUAUAUGGAAUUAGAAUAUUAAGGAUGAGGAUUAUAACCACUGGAAAAAAUAUUGGACCUUAAAUUAUUAUUAUUAUUAAUGUCAAAAUUCUGACUUUAAUCUCAUAAUUCAGUUUUUUUUUUUUUUCAGAACAUUAAUAA